rnacentral:misc_RNA from 1 species
GACAAUGCAACUGCUCAGGCAACCUUGCAACGAACCAAGGAAGUUACUUAUCAACUUGUCAGUGUGGUUGAUGGCAUAAUCAACAAUGUCUCCAAUAGAAAUUUCCCUCCUCAGGCAGGACCUUUAUAUUACAACCAAUCUGGUCCACUGAUGCCUGUUCUUUGCAACCCAUUUAAUUCUGAUAUCACAGAACGGCAAUGUGCUGCUGGCGAAGUGGACUUAAACAAUGCUACUGAGGCGUGGAAGAAUUAUAUCUGUCAAGAUCAAUCUGGUAUUUGCAAGACACCUGGACG